GUGAUAUGGUGCCUCAUGUUCGGCUCUCUAGCUGUAGCGCUAGCAGUCUUCUGUAGCCACUCUUGACGAGCUCUUGUGAACAUCUGCCCAGCAGCGCCCGCACACCCCUACGCUACAAUCUAGCACCGUACUUAGCAAUUGUUUCACUGUGGAGAAAGUCCAUAGACUUGCUGCCAUUUUCCUGGGGAUGCAUUUAAAGGCGUAACUCCUGUCCUCAAGUUGCUCACCAUCGAAUGUGGAACUCACCCUGAGUAGAUCAUUUUACCUUUAGUGUGAUAAAUACUAUGGAAGAGUAAGCACAAUGCAACCUGAGAACACCGAGGAGAAAAUCCUAACCCAGUCCCUGGGAGGAUAAGCUUCCUCAACCAGAACUGAGUUGUGAAAAGUGAGGAAAGAACUAAGGAGAGGAAGAUGAGCCAGGAAGAGUGCUGCAGACACAGAAAAAAGCAAGUGCAGAGGCAUAAAGUGGCAUAAAGAGAGCAAGUUAGGAGGUUACUUCACCGGAACACGGAUGCAAGGGACAGAAGUUGCAGAAUAUGGAAAAAUAGGCAGCAGAUCCCGUGCUUUGCGCUGGGAAAUCUUCUCCCUGGAUUUCUCAGUGUUCCAGCACGGUCUAGAUCUUCGGAGAGGACGCCCGAAUAUCAGUCCUAAAGACAGAAAACUCUAAGGAGGUUUAGGACUUAUCUCGCCUGGAACCACUGGCUGACAUUCCAGGCUGGUAAAGGAAAGAUGAAGACCUCCCCCCUCCUUCCUUCCCAGAGCAAUGUUCUGUGGGGAGGAGGGGCAGAUGAACCAGCCACUAUACAUAAGCUCCAACUGUCACAACGUGGGGGCUCCUCCCCUGUGGUACGAACCCUGCUGCACAUACAGUGAACAUUUGGCUCUCAUUGUGCAGUCCACGGAGAAAUGGGGCAUGAGGAAGCAGCGUUAAUAUGCUCUGUGAAUAAUAAAUAGCCUGUUCUCUGGCCC